UAUUAUGAUUUCAGGUUUGGAUUCGAUCCUCUCAUGUUUGAUAUACGCCAUAAUUUAUGACGCAAUCAUAAACUUGUGAUUAUAGUAUAAUUCUAAUUCUCAUUAUACUAAUUCUCAUCCGAUUGGAUCAAGGAAGACUAGACAAAUUUAAUACACAUGGACGGAUCAAAGAUCAAUGCUUGAAAUUGAGAAAUCAUACAUUGAUUGAAGGUGGAAUUUAUAUCAAUUCGAUUCAAUGGAGCCCUAAGAGAGAAUAUUUCUCUUUUUCCCUUUAUCUUUCUUUCUCUCCAUAUUUGAACAGAUUUAGGGAUUUAAUUCCCAAAAUUGUGAAAUCGCCGCCCGCUCCAAGAAGAGCUCGUCAGCGGCGAACGUUGAUUGUCACCAGAUGGCGAACUCCGGUGAAGCUUUAGGAAAUAACAACAACCUCCUCUUUCUAUUUCUCACGUCUCUCCAGGAUCAGAGAUCUAAUCUUCAUGGUAGAAUGAGGAACCUCCGGUUUUCUUGUCGAUUCAUGAAUCAUCACCGCCUUUCCUUUUAGCUUCCUCCUUCUCUCGGAGUCAUCGUUUUGAUCGGUAAAAGAACCGACUUCCUGUUCUACAGAAUUGUUAUGAGACUGAGAUCCAUCUUCACUUGCAAAUGAAAAUGACCCAGUUUGGGUGAGACCCACAGAAGAAAAGUGUGCGGAUACAAGGUUUAGUCUCUUCUCAAAAGAGAUAUCAUCGAUAAAUAUCUGCCAAAUAUUAAUUAUCGAAAAAAAUUACAUAUUCAUGAAUGAAUUUACCUCCGAUUCAGUUAGAAGAUCAAUCUUCUCUUUCAAAUAUG
rnacentral:lncRNA from 1 species